rnacentral:sRNA from 1 species
AAUAACAAUUUUAAUUAAUGUCUUUAACAAUUGUGUUUUCUUUUAAUCGCAUUUUUUUUGAUAAACUAGAAAUAUAUUUUGCAGUUAUUUUUUUUUAGAAAGUUGCAAUCUGGAUAAAUGUCUUCUACUGUUACAUCUUUUUUUAAUCGUAAAUCUUCAUAAACGGUUGCAACUAUUUAGUUAAAGCAUUACAAUAUUUAAUUUAUUUGAAAAAUCAUUGCAAUUUUUGGUUUAUUUAUGAAUCGUUAUAAUAUUUAAUAAAUUGGAUUCUAAUGUAAUGCCAAGUUAGAUUAUCAAAAGCUAGGGUAAUGAUCAUACAUCUCAAGAUGUCGCGAAAAUGAAGCUAGUAAGGUAAAAUUCGGCAAUCGCCAAAAAAUCAGAGUCUAGAUUUGUAAUUUUAAUUGCAUCUUCUUCUUUUUGGUCAAUAGUAACAUCUGGUCAUGGAAAGUGUUCUGCAAAAGUAUGUUUAUGCAGCUCCUAGUAGAAUGAGUACAAGAACGGAAGAAACACUACAUGCUUAGACUUUUGAUGAUGAUAAUAAAAGUUUACCAAAAAAGUGAAUCCAAAACUGAAAAAGAAAGAAUUAUAACACUUAAUCUGAGAUUAAUAACUUGAAAAUUUUAAAGCUUAACUCAUAUUACAACAUAACAAAUAACAUGCAGUAUUCUCAAAAUCUACAUAUACAUUUUUGGUAGACUUUUUGGCCAAAAAUCUCUCAACUAUUUACUAAUAACAUUUAGAUCCUUACAAAAUAUAUCUCAACUAGAUAUUCUAAUACUAAAAAUUUACAAUUUGUUAGUUUGCAUUAAAUACUUAAAUUAACUCUUUUCUAUAUUACAUAUUUAGUCCCUACAAAAUCUAUCUAAAAAAAA